rnacentral:rRNA from 1 species
GAACGCUGGCGGCGUGCCUAAUACAUGCAAGUCGAGCGAACGGACGAGAAGCUUGCUUCUCUGAUGUUAGCGGCGGGCGGGUGAGUAACACGUGGAUAACCUACCUAUAAGACUGGGAUAACUUCGGGAAACCGGAGCUAAUACCGGAUAAUAUUUUGAACCGCAUGGUUCAAAAGUGAAAGACGGUCUUGCUGUCACUUAUAGAUGGAUCCGCGCUGCAUUAGCUAGUUGGUAAGGUAACGGCUUACCAAGGCAACGAUGCAUAGCCGACCUGAGAGGGUGAUCGGCCACACUGGAACUGAGACACGGUCCAGACUCCUACGGGAGGCAGCAGUAGGGAAUCUUCCGCAAUGGGCGAAAGCCUGACGGAGCAACGCCGCGUGAGUGAUGAAGGUCUUCGGAUCGUAAAACUCUGUUAUUAGGGAAGAACAUAUGUGUAAGUAACUGUGCACAUCUUGACGGUACCUAAUCAGAAAGCCACGGCUAACUACGUGCCAGCAGCCGCGGUAAUACGUAGGUGGCAAGCGUUAUCCGGAAUUAUUGGGCGUAAAGCGCACGUAGGCGGUUUUUUAAGUCUGAUGUGAAAGCCCACGGCUCAACCGUGGAGGGUCAUUGGAAACUGGAAAACUUGAGUGCAGAAGAGGAAAGUGGAAUUCCAUGUGUAGCGGUGAAAUGCGCAGAGAUAUGGAGGAACACCAGUGGCGAAGGCGACUUUCUGGUCUGUAACUGACGCUGAUGUGCGAAAGCGUGGGGAUCAAACAGGAUUAGAUACCCUGGUAGUCCACGCCGUAAACGAUGAGUGCUAAGUGUUAGGGGGUUUCCGCCCCUUAGUGCUGCAGCUAACGCAUUAAGCACUCCGCCUGGGGAGUACGACCGCAAGGUUGAAACUCAAAGGAAUUGACGGGGACCCGCACAGGCGGUGGAGCAUGUGGUUUAAUUCGAAGCAACGCGAAGAACCUUACCAAAUCUUGACAUCCUUUGACAACUCUAGAGAUAGAGCUUUCCCCUUCGGGGGACAAAGUGACAGGUGGUGCAUGGUUGUCGUCAGCUCGUGUCGUGAGAUGUUGGGUUAAGUCCCGCAACGAGCGCAACCCUUAAGCUUAGUUGCCAUCAUUAAGUUGGGCACUCUAAGUUGACUGCCGGUGACAAACCGGAGGAAGGUGGGGAUGACGUCAAAUCAUCAUGCCCCUUAUGAUUUGGGCUACACACGUGCUACAAUGGACAAUACAAAGGGCAGCGAAACCGCGAGGUCAAGCAAAUCCCAUAAAGUUGUUCUCAGUUCGGAUUGUAGUCUGCAACUCGACUACAUGAAGCUGGAAUCGCUAGUAAUCGUAGAUCAGCAUGCUACGGUGAAUACGUUCCCGGGUCU